CCUACGGGAGGCAGCAGUGAGGAAUAUUGGUCAAUGGGCGCAAGCCUGAACCAGCCAAGUCGCGUGAGGGAUGACGGUCCUAUGGAUUGUAAACCUCUUUUGUCGGGGAGCAAGGCCCGCCACGUGUGUCGGGAAGGAGAGUACCCGAAGAAAAAGCAUCGGCUAACUCCGUUCCAGCAGCCGCGGUAAUACGGUGGAUGCGAGCGUUAUCCGGUGGUAUUGGUUUAAAAGGGUGCGUAGGCGGAAGGUUAAGUCAGCGGUAAAAUGUCGGUGCUCAACACCGGACUGCCGUUGAAACUGGUCUUCUUGAGUGAGCGAGAGGUAAGCGGAAUGCGUGGUGUAGCGGUGAAAUGCAUAGAUAUCACGCAGAACACCGAUUGCGAAGGCAGCAUACCGGCGCUCAACUGACGCUGAGGCACGAAAGCGUGGGGAUCGAACAGGAUUAGAUACCCUGGUAGUC
rnacentral:rRNA from 1 species